AAAUGGCCACGGAACAAUGUUACGUAGUAGUCUCAGAAUGUAAAGGAAUGUAAAGGAAGGAUGCUCAUAAGUCUUGGUGCAACUUGUGCCCGUCGGCUGUAAUAUAUAUAGUGAAGAUAAUGAAAUUAUAGAGGUUUUUAAUGAACUUUUUUCGAAAGGUGAAUAUGACUCAACUCUUUACAAAAGUAAAUCGUUUAAUAAUGAAUGUUUUUUAGUUGGGGCUAGUGCAGAGAUGACAGGGAAAAUGUUUGAGUGAGAGAGAAAAUGUAAUGUUUGAGUGAGAGAGAUGAAGGAGAAGGGGUUGAGAGGAAUGAAGGAGGUGAGUAAGGGUUUGGGGUUUUCUUUUUUUAGUUUUGAGAAUGAAAAUUAUUAAAAUAAGGCAAGUGUUUAGGGUUUGGGGUUUUCUUUUUUUAGUUUUGAGAAUGAAAAUUAUUAAAAUAAGGCAAGUGUUUCUGAUUUUUUUUCAAUUGGAGCUAGAGUAGGGAUGACAGAUAAAGGUUGAAGUGAAAGAGAUGAAAGAGAAAUGGUUAAGAGGAAUGAGAGAGAUGGGUAAGGGUUUGGGGGUUUCUUUUUUUAUUUUUUUAAUUUUGAGAAUGAAAAUUAUUAAAAUACCCUUAACCUUAAAACUUAGAAUUUAUGAUAUAUAUGGGUAUUUUUGUCUACUGAAACCUGGUACACAUUGCUAAAAUGUACCAACUGAAAAACAGGCGUACGCAAGUUAGCAAACCCCUAUAUAUAUAUAUAUAUAUAUAUAUGUGUGUGUGUGUGUGUGUGUUUAAAUAAUACUCUGAGUCAAAUAAAUAAAAAUAUCAUGUGAUAAAGAGUUAAUGAAGGUUUCAUGUAUUAAGUUGAAAGUAAGAAAUUCUUAACU
rnacentral:lncRNA from 1 species